rnacentral:rRNA from 1 species
CAAUAGCGUAUAUUAAAGCUGUUGCGGUUAAAAAGCUCGUAGUUGGAUUUCUGUCAAGGACAACUGGUCCGCCCUCCGGGUGAGCACAUAGUUUGGUCUUGACAUCUUGCUGGAAGCUGUUGCUGCACUUGGCUGUGUGGCGCAGUGUUCAGCACUUUCACUUUGAGGAAAUUGGAGUGUUUCAAGCAGGCACAUGCCUUUGGACACAGUAGCAUGGAAUAAUUAGAUUGGGCUUUUGCUCCAAUUUGUCGGUUUCUGGAGCUGAGGUGAGAAUUAAUGGGGAUUGUUGGGGGCAUCCGAAUUUAGCCGUCAGAGGUGAAAUUCUUGGAUCUGCUAAAGACGGACAACUGCGAAAGCGUUUGCCCAGGAUGUUUNCAUUGA